rnacentral:rRNA from 1 species
AUUGAACGCUGGCGGCAGGCCUAACACAUGCAAGUCGAACGAGUGGCGGACGGGUGAGUAAUGUCUGGGAAACUGCCUGAUGGAGGGGGAUAACUAAUGGAAACGGUAGCUAAUACCGCAUACCAUCGGAUGUGCCCAGAUGGGAUUAGCUAGUAGGUGGGGUAAAGGCGCACCUAGGCGACGAUCCCUAGAUGGUCUGAGAGGAUGACGAGCCACACUGGGACUGAUGCACGGUCCAGACGCCUACGGGAGGCAGCAGUGGGGAAUAUUGGACAAUGGGCGCAAGCCUGAUGCAGACAUGCCGCGUGUAUGAAGAAGGCCUUCGGGUUGUAAAGUACUUUCAGCGGGGAGGCGUUACCCGCAGAAGAAGCACCGGCUAACUCCGUGCCAGCCGCCGCGGUAAUUC